UACGUAGGGCGCAAGCGUUGUCCGGAAUUAUUGGGCGUAAAGGGCUCGUAGGCGGCUCAGUAAGUCGGGUGUGAAACCUCCAGGCUCAACCUGGAGACGCCACUCGAUACUGCUGUGGCUAGAGUCCGGUAGGGGAGCAUGGAAUUCCUGGUGUAGCGGUGAAAUGCGCAGAUAUCAGGAGGAACACCAGUGGCGAAGGCGGUGCUCUGGGCCGGAACUGACGCUGAUGAGCGAAAGCGUGGGGAGCAAACAGG
rnacentral:rRNA from 1 species